rnacentral:rRNA from 1 species
UGCAAGUUCGUACGAGAGGUUUGACUCAAGUGGCGGACGGGUGAGUAACACGUCAGAAUUCCCUUAGGAGGGGAAAACAGUUGGAAAGAUGCUAACGCCGCAUAUCAUAACUAUGAAAGAAGAAUUCGCCUAAAGAAAAGCUCGCGUCUGAUUAGCUAGUUGGUAAGGGUAAAGGCCUACCAAGGCGACGAUCAGUAGCUGGUUUGAGAGGACGACCAGUCACACUGGAACUGAGACACGGUCCAGACUCCUACGGGAGGCAGCAGUGGGGAAUUUUCUGCAAUGGGCGAAAGCCUGACAGAGCAAUACCGCGUGAGGGAAGAAAGCCCACAGGGUUGUAAACCUCUUUUGUCAAGGAAGAAGUUCUGACGUUACUCGACGAAUAAGCAUCGGCUAACUCCGUGCCAGCAGCCGCGGUAAGACGGGGGAUGCAAGUGUUAUCCGGAAUCACUGGGCGUAAAGCGUUUGUAGGUGGUUUAGUAAGUCUAUUGUUAAAGCUUGAAGCUUAACUUCAAAAAUGUAAUAGAAACUACUAGACUUGAGGAUAGUAGGGGUAAAGGGAAUUUCCAGUAGAGCGGUGAAAUGCGUAGAGAUUGGAAGGACCACCGAUGGCGAAGGCACUUUACUGGGCUAUUUCUGACACUAAGAGACGAAAGCUAGGGUAGCGAAUGGGAUUAGAUACCCCCAGUAGUCCUAGCUGUA